rnacentral:rRNA from 1 species
UACGGGAGGCAGCAGUGGGGAAUAUUGCACAAUGGGGGGAACCCUGAUGCAGCGACGCCGCGUGAGCGAUGAAGUAUUUCGGUAUGUAAAGCUCUAUCAGCAGGGAAGAAAAUGACGGUACCUGACUAAGAAGCCCCGGCUAACUACGUGCCAGCAGCCGCGGUAAU